rnacentral:lncRNA from 1 species
AUGGUGCCCUUUGCUCUGCCAUUCAUGCAACAGCAGUGGAUAUUGUAUCUUAGGCAAAUGUGCAGUCUGAGACAGAAGUACCCAGGUGACCAAUGUCAGCAGAAAAAAGUCAUCAAAGAAGUCCCACUAGUAGCAAUAGCUUACAAGUUUGAUUUAAAAAGAAAAAUCUGCAGCAGCUAGGAGACCUGUCAGACUUGACCCAAGUGAGGAAGAAAGUCAUUUAACCAUCCCCAAUGCCUUUUUUGAAGGUA